CACAGAGCCAUUGAUAAAUCAAAGGUCCUUUAUUAUCCAUAACUGACCGGAUAUACCGCAGUGUAGGACAGAACAAAAUGACAGAGGAAAUGAUAUUGGAAAAAGCAUAAGAACAACGUGUCACUAUCGUUUUAGGGUAGGCCCAUCUGGUGGGAUCUUCUCACCACUCUUGGUGUCUCUCCCCUGGGGAGGAUGGAUGCGGAGGCAGCAUCUGCGUCUCCCUCCUCCACGGUGGCGGGGCCCUCCACACAGUGGUGUCUGACAGAGUGGAGGAGUAGGAAGGCGGGCUCAGGGAACAUCUGACUGGAUCCUCAAAAGGUUCUACAGCUGCACCAUCGAGAGCAUCACUGCCUGUUAUGACAACUGCUCAGCCUCUGACUGCAAGGCACUACAAAGGGUAGUGCGAAUGUCCCAGAACAUCACUGCGGCCAAGCUUCCUGCCAUCCAGGACCUCUAUACCAAGAGUAGUCAGAGUCCAGCCACCCUCGUCAGACUGUUCUCUCUGCUACAGCACAGUAACCAGCAACGGAGCUCCAUGUCUAGGUCCCAGAGGCUUCUAAACAGCUUCUACCCUCAAGCCAAAUGGCUACCCAGACUAUUUGCAGUGACCCCCCCCUCCCCUCCUUACACCACUGCUACUCUGUUGUCAUCUAUGCAUAGUCACUUCAAUAACUCUACCUACAUUGUACAUACUACCUCAAAUAACCGGUGCCCCCGCAACCAGUGCCCCCGCACAUUUCACUAUACAUGAAAAACAACACAAAAAGCUAAACACGAUCAUAUGAAACAAUCUUCAGUAAAAAAAAAAUUUAAAAAAAAAUCGAACUAAUCCUUGGUUCUCUAUAAAACUUUCAUGUCGUGUUAAAAUGAGACAGAGAAUAACAGAAUUAUCCUGUGGCUCGCCGCCACAAGUGUCCACGACUGAACUGUGGAAUGACAUAAACCAGCAGACCAUAAGGUACCGCUAAAUUAUCUGGUGUUUACCUGGAAAUAGUAGGCUAAGAGGAAGUCAAUACAUAAUAAUGACCUGAUUUUAUUUGAUCAACAUUCCUUUGAAAUAAAUCAACCAACUCUGCCUCCCAAUUCUCCGCCCUCUCUAGAAGUCAGCAAUAUGGACACUCUCGGUCAUGGAUUUAAAAACAUGUGACUGGUGUAAGCAUGGGCUGGAUUGAGUUGCCACGAUUGCUAAAUCCAUGUUAGAAAAGUGUGCAAGGGCUCGCUUUGGGAGAAGGGUAGAAAAUCAGGAUGCAAUCUAAGAGACAAGAAAAGUACAAGAAACCUUGAUAAUGGAAUAGUGCAAUUCUUUAUGCAUUUCAUUCUUUACAUACAGUACAAAUCGUAUCAGUGGAGGCUGCGAAGGGGAGGACAGCUCAUAAUGGCUGGAACGGAGUAAAUGAAAUGGCAAACGCAUGGAAACCAUGUCUUUAAUACAAUCCCAUUCCACUCCAUCCAUUACCACAAGCCCCUCCCCAAUUAAGGUGCCACCAACCUCCUGUGAUUUGUCAAUACAAUACAUUAGUAGGACAGUUUGGUUACUAUAGCAGGAAAUGUACAUUUAAAUAAACAAGAUGUGAGGAAACAGGCAAUGUGCGUUUCUGAGACAGUACAUUGCAGUCAUCCCAUAGGUGGCGCCACAGGGCUGCCAUCACAUGCAGAUGCCCAUAACACAACAGGCAC